UCUCUUUCCACGGAACCCUGGAUGAGGACACGCAGCUGUCUGAUAAAAAAGAUCUCCCUGAAGGUCGGGAUCAGCAGGUCAGUGCGUUGGAGAGCAUUCAGUGCCUGCAGUCGUCAAACGAGGGUGGCCCACCUAAUGGAGAGCUGGCUGAGAAGGAGCGGCGGCGGAUGAAGGACAGCUUUGAGCACUAUCGGAGAAAGAGGGCAUUGCGAAGGGUGCAGAAGGACAGACACCAUGAAGUGGACUGGGAAAACACUGGUAGUGACAACACGGACACUGAAGGCUCCUAAUAGCAUCAGCCCAACUGCAGCGGGAAUUACAAAAAGUUUGCUGGGAGUGUAGUGCAAGACUCUUCCCUUCUGCCCAUCCAAGCUGAUUGACGUUACAAACUUUUUCUCAACAACCACCUUGAACAUUUACCAAGUCGAAGGCACUGGACUGGGAUGCAGGAGAUCUGGACUAUAUUUCUGCCCCUGCCAUAGCAAUCCUAUGUGACCUUGGCCUAGUCACCUAACCAGUUCAUAUUUCUGUGAUUCAGAACCCUAAUUCUUUUAUAUAUUUAAUGGGGAAUGAUGAUGUCCUUCUAGAAGUGGUAUGAGUCUAAAUGAAUUAAACUCCAGUUGCUCUAGCACAGUGGUUCCCAAACUUUAACAAGCUGUGAACCCCUUUCACUAAAAGGUCAGUCUUGUGAACCCCCUCCUAAAAAUUAAUAUUUCCAGGGAUUUUUCUCCUUUACCUCAGUAUAAAUUAUAAAAGCAGUGAUCUUGGAAAUAUAAAAUUUGUUUUUAUGACAUGCUUAUUAUACACUACUUAUUAAUUAUCAUUACAGUAUUUUUAUUACAUUAUGAAAACAGCAGCACUCUUCCAAGAUCUCACUUUUGUAGCUUGUAUCACUUUUCAUAAGCUUGUUAUAAGACAAGGCUCUUAUGUUUCAUCAAGGAGUAUCAGAUGUGAAACAGCAUGACGGUACUUAAGAAGCCAGUUCAAAGAGUUUCUCCUACGCAGGCAUUCAGGUCUUGAGCAGUCCAAGCAAACAACACGUUACAACAAAGCUUAAACUUGUUCUGCAUAAUAAUUUUAAAAACAAUACUAGCUGCCUAUUUAAUUUUAAAAACAGCAAAAAAUAUCCACCUCCCUUUCCAUUUCUUAUAAGGAGUCUUGAAGUUUAAAUCUCCUCAGGGUCAUAGAUAUGCUUGCUUUGGUCUGCUUAGCUCUUGGAAAUCCAGGGGCUCUGUGCUGCUGGCCUCGUGCUGCCUGCAGUCCCUAGGGACAGCUCUGUCCACCAUUAGGGAAUUUUUUUCCCGAGAACCCCCUGUAACAUUUCGUGAACCCCCAGGGGUUCACAAACCCCAGUUUGGGAACCACUGCUCUAGCAGAAAUCCUUAUGAUCAUGGUGCUAUGUCAAUGUAUUGUAUUAUUCUGUGCAAAAAACAAUCCAAGUAAAAAAUAUACACUAUUAUUAUUUGCUUCAAAACUAGGCUUAAGCGGUGUGCUAGAAAUGUAAAAUAUACAAAAAGUUGUUGCUAUGGCAACAGCCCACAACAAUGGGAUAUGAAAAACCCUCUGUGUCCAUAUCCAACCUACUAGCUUAAGAAAAUCUUUACCUUCUAAUUUCCAGGAAAAUAACCAAAUGAGGGAGAAUGUAAUACCCAUUAAUGCCUCAAUUCCAUGAUGGCUUGUUAUUUUUUAACUGAUGGGGCUAGCAAUUUUCUCUUCUCCCUCCUCUCCCCCAACAAAAUUGUGAGACUUUAAUAAAUGGUGGAU
rnacentral:lncRNA from 1 species